CACUCCAAGCCUCUCUCUCUAUACUUCACUUUGCUGCUUUCCCUCUCUGCCUCCUUCCAUGGCUCCAUCUGUGCAACCUUCUUCAUCACCUCUUCGUACAAGUAAAGGCGAUGACAAGUAUGCGAAUGUGAAAUGGGAAGAGCUCGGAUUCUCUUUGAUUCCGACAGAUUGCAUGUAUGUGGCGAAGUGCAGACAAGGAGAGAGUUUCACAGAAGGGAAGAUUGUUCCUUAUGGUGACAUUUCAAUCAGCCCUUGUUCUCCUAUUCUCAACUAUGGCCAGGGACUAUUUGAAGGUCUGAAAGCUUACAGAAGGGCAACGAGAUGCUGAUGUUCUUAUGGCACAUUUAGAAAGUGAGCAGAUACAACAUGAGAAGUAUUACAAGACUUGGCGUUUCAAAUACAAAUAUGAAGAAAAGCAUUAUGUUGAGAAGAACACGGGAAUGGAUUAUGUUUCUUAUUCGAUCUUUGAUGCCUUGUUGAGUAUUAUCAGUAAGGAUGGUGCUGCAGGAGAUAGAUAACAAACUUAUUGUGUGGAGUUUGCUGAGUUUCCGAUGCAGCAACGGCAGUGGCGUAUUGGAAUUACUUCAUAUCGGCUAGAGGUGAAGCUGAGUAUGUUGUGUUAGGCUGUAUCACAUGGUUUUUUCUCACAGUGGUUGCAAACUCAAAGAGGGAUUGCCUGGUUGAUCUUGCUUUCCUAUUGUCACUUCAGAACGAGCUGUGGAGUGAGCACCAUUUGGUUGUGCAAUUGAUUCUACUCUUUUGGUACCCUGCAAGUGUUGAACAAAAAGAUUAUUUUGCUGUGUGGCAUUUCUGGAAAUACAGAGUUACAAGCAGCACGUUGUGGCAGUAUUCAGGGCCAGUGUGCCUAUGGAUAGAGACUGAAGAUGGAAAUGCAACAUGUUAUGCAUGAGCUCAAAGAAGUUACAGCGGGUGAUGUUACGUUUCACAUAAAACAUCAGUGGGGAUUGCACAAUGGAGUCAUUGUGUUGCUGCAGAACAAUGUGUGCUUCGGAGUUCUGGCUUUGUUGGGUCUGUCAUUAGCUUGGACUACACUGCAAAGAGUUCACAACAUUUGGCACCGAUGGAGACGCAAGGAUUGGUGGUUUAAGUUCAAAAACAAAGCAGUGUUAAACCUAGAAGGUUGGGGUCAAGCUUCUUUUCAAAGGCGGGGGUAUUGAUAAGCUGGUAUUAGCUUUAGUACCAUGAGAAGAUAAGAGGAUUAAAAGGCUGGUUUCUGUGUACACAGUUCAUAAUUUGUGUUCCUGCCAAAAGACUCCUUAGAACUGAAAUGGUUGAGUCUUGUAGGGGAGCACAGGUCUGAACCUAAAAGUUGAUCAUAAGCAUCACAGAGCUCAUUCUGGUGGGACGGGUAGUGUCAAGAGUUGCACAAACUAUUCUCCUGUAAGUUAAAAGAGACACCAAAAAUAAUACUAUUAUACAUCACAAACUAUUCUCUUCUUGUGAUUGUGAGAUCCAUUUCUUUUGACAACCACAAAGCUCAUGUUUCGUCUGAGACAAAUGCAGAUGAAACCUCUCCAGUUCCUACGGAAGAAACCGAUGAAGAGAUUCCAGAAGAAGAAGCGGUAUGCAGAAUCUGCCUAGACGUAUGUGAAGAAGGCAACACUCUGAAAAUGGAGUGCAGCUGCAAAGGUGAUCUCAAACUUGUCCAUGAAACCUGUGCCAUUAAGUGGUUUAGCACAAAGGGAACAGUGUUUUUUUUAAGAACUUCAAAAUAAGAAACUACCAUUGGAGAUCAAAAAUCAAUAAAGCUCUUAACUAAGGUUCU